UGGAAUGUAGCUCAGUGGUAGAGCGCUUGCCUACCAUGCAUGAGGCUCUAAAUUUGAUCCCUAACAGUGCAA
rnacentral:tRNA from 1 species